CGCCUUGCGGCUCUUCAAAAGGCGCACCUUCUCCCGAGCUCAGAGCAUUUGGUCCUCACCACGGUAGCCAUGACCUCCAAGAGGUGCUUGGUGCACAAAAUGGCUCCACCUUACGAGUUGUAGUGUGGUGUCAGUGGGCGCAAUCAGUGCCGAUGUAGUACCUUCAGUCUGAAUCGAGAGGUUCGAUUCCGUUGCCUGGGCUGGUGGUUUGCCUGCCUGCCUGGCUGAGGUCCAAUGGCCGUGAAUGUGGUCGGGGUAUGGUCCAUGCCUCAACUUAGCUUCCGGUUGCGGCAAGUCGCGAAGGGGAAGCAAUGGCAGAUUUUUCAGCAGUUCAUUUUGUUUUUUGUCUUAAUUAUCUGGUUCGCGAUGGUGACGAUCUCUUCGCUCUUCACUCCGUCUACAGGUACUGAAAUUGGUUCCAGCACCGCUGGUACGAAAAUGAAGCCUCUUCCAUUGCUCCACGCGAGGAAACUUGCAUGGAUCCUAUGAUAGUGAAUCUGUGGAGGCGAUUUCCCAUCCAGACAUAUAUUUAACUACAUGCAACAUAAGCCAGCUACAAAGCUUUUCCCCACUUGGUAUUUCACUCCUUUAUUUUGUCUCGUUCCUGUUCUUGCCGAUGACCUUGCGACUCUUUAAUUCAGAAUUAGGUGACAGUAGCGACGACACUGCGAAGCCAGCUAAUCAUGGGCAGUGGAUGGUAGUGCUAUAGCUGAGAUGAGGGACGAACAAGCGCAUUUGAAGAAUGAGUCCACCCUGGCCCAUGACUAAAGAUCGCCAUGCGCAGAGAGUAGACUAGGGUUUAGAUAAUCAAUUUAUCGACCUCGCCAUAACAGCGAAGUGUUGCAGAAGAUAGAAGAGCCACUCCAGCAACGUGUUUUGCUUGCGGAUAAAUGCUGCAGGAAAAUUACAUUCAUUGUAAAAAAUUUGGAACUGCCAUUUUUAAAUGCAGGGUAGUCAGACAUUGGAUCUCUAUCCUCAAAGUACCAACA